AAUCAACGCUGGCGGCGUGCCUCAGACAUGCAAGUCGAACGAUUAAAGCUCUCUUCGGAGAGUGUAUAGAGUGGCGCACGGGUGAGUAACACGUAAGUAAUCUACCUUUGAGUGGGGAAUAACCCGGGGAAGCCCGAGCUAAUACCGCAUAAUGCAGCGGCACCGCAAGGUGACAGUUGUUAAAGGAGCAAUCCGCUUAAAGAGGAGCUUGCGGCAGAUUAGCAGUUGGUAAGGUAAUGGCUUACCAAGGCUUCGAUCUGUAUCCGGCCUGAGAGGGCGGUCGGACACACUGACACUGAAUAACGGGUCAGACUCCUACGGGAGGCAGCAGUCGGGAAUUUUGGGCAAUGGGCGAAAGCCUGACCCAGCAACGCCGCGUGAAGGAUGAAGUA
rnacentral:rRNA from 1 species